UACGUAGGGUGCGAGCGUUAAUCGGAAUUACUGGGCGUAAAGCGUGCGCAGGCGGUUCGUUGUGUCGGCGGUGAAAGCCCCGGGCUCAACCUGGGAAUGGCGUUUGAAACUAAGGAGCUGGAGUGUGGCAGAGGGAGGUAGAAUUCCACGUGUAGCGGUGAAAUGCGUAGAUAUGUGGAGGAAUACCGAUGGCGAAGGCAGCCUCCUGGGCCAACACUGACGCUCAUGCACGAAAGCGUGGGGAGCAAACAGG
rnacentral:rRNA from 1 species